rnacentral:rRNA from 1 species
AUUGAACGCUGGCGGCAUGCCUUACACAUGCAAGUCGAACGGUAACGGGUCCUUCGGGAUGCCGACGAGUGGCGAACGGGUGAGUAAUAUAUCGGAACGUGCCCAGUAGUGGGGGAUAACUGCUCGAAAGAGCAGCUAAUACCGCAUACGACCUGAGGGUGAAAGGGGGGGAUCGCAAGACCUCUCGCUAUUGGAGCGGCCGAUAUCAGAUUAGCUAGUUGGUGGGGUAAAGGCCUACCAAGGCAACGAUCUGUAGUUGGUCUGAGAGGACGGCCAGCCACACUGGGACUGAGACACGGCCCAGACUCCUACGGGAGGCAGCAGUGGGGAAUUUUGGACAAUGGGCGCAGGCCUGAUCCAGCAAUGCCGCGUGCAGGAAGAAGGCCUUCGGGUUGUAAACUGCUUUUGUCAGGGAAGAAAUCUUCUGGGCUAAUACCCCGGGAGGAUGACGGUACCUGAAGAAUAAGCACCGGCUAACUACGUGCCAGCAGCCGCAGUAA